rnacentral:lncRNA from 1 species
GGACAAGACAGGCGUGAGCUCCUGCAAAGGGGCCCAGAAUGGUGGGGAAGCAGAACUUCUGCCUCCAACUCACUUUCUCACCGUGCAACUGCGGAUCCAGAGGAAUCUCUGCAGGUUAUUGGGGAACAAGUGGUACUCAAGAUGGAUGAAGGACUUAAAUCCAAGACAAGAAACUAUAAAAAUUCUAAAAGACAACAUUGGAAAAACUCUUCUAGACAUUGGCUUAGGCAAGGAUUUCACGAACAAGAACCCAUAAGCAAACGCAAUAAGAACAAAAAUAAAUAGCUGGGACCUAAUCAAACUAAAGAGCUUUUGCACAGCAAAAGGAACAGUCAGCAGAGUAAACAGACAACACACAGAGUGGGAGAAAAUCUUCACAAUCUAUACAUCUGACAAAGGACUGAUAUCCAGAAUCUACAAUGGACUCAAACAAAUUAGCAAGAAACAAAUAAUCCCAUCAAAAAGUGGGCUAAGGACAUGAAUAGACUUUUAGGUUACUUUUAGGUAUUUGUGUGUGCAGACCUCUUGGUGUCAAGGCUAAACUGUUCCUUUCUCUGACACAUGGGAAAUUGAUGCACAAUACCUUGCAGUGUAUAAUUCCAGGCCCCUAGGCACUGGAGACUGGGUUAUCUUUUCACUCAACUGACAGUUGAUACAUUGUUUGCACUGAAAAAUCUGGCUUUGUUGAACCACACCAGUUUAUGUUUUUAAUUCCAAAUCUUACCUUGUUAUGAACUAUUUUUUUGUCCUUUCCUCUAGAGAAAUGCUAAUGCUGCUUGCUUACAUGGAAAGUAAAGUUAAGGAGUUGGUGUUGACAUUUUGGCUUGCUGUCACAGGCAAAAAAGAAUAGUGCUGUUUUUGUGUGUUUAAUUUUCUUUCACUUUCCCCACUCUGUGUAUUGGAGGAUGCCUUUAGCAAUAAGUAGUCCUUAUCCAGGUCACUCACUCAUUAACCGCCAACCACUGACAGUAAUGUCUUUACUAGAUAUUUUGCUUCUUUUGAUUAAUUUGUCUCUAUUUCCUUUGUUCUAAAGCCUAUAGUGAGUAAUCAUAUUUGGAGUAAUAGCAGAGCUCCCUGCUGUGUUUUCAUUUGCUUAAAUCAAGACUUAGCUGCUGUAUUGAGGAACCAAGACUGAGAUGUGGGGCUAGGAGGGCCUAGGGUCUGUCAGGCACUCUUCAGUGACUUGAGGUGCUGAAUGACUCACACUGUACUGGGAGAUGACCACCUGUGUGCAUCCAACACAGUCACAGAUAGUGCCAUUGAGCCACCAGGAGCAGCCACAGACCAUCAGUGGUUGUGCUUUGGAAUACGCAAUUUUGUGUUUCUGGUGAGCUGUAAUCUUUUCUUUUCCCAUAGAAUUAUUUUUCAUUGAAUUAUGCUAUUAAAACUCAUCUUUGGGUUUCUUGUAACGUCAUUGCCGAGAACGUUAUUUUUGCAUUUCACAGUGAUUUCUUGAGGAGGAAGUAAGAAGUAAUUGUUUUCUGGACUCACUGUCUGAAAAACUUGCACUUUACUGAAGCGAUUGUUUUGUUUACACUAAGUAACAAUAUGAGUUUUGUUAGCUUUUUGGAUGGACUACAAAGCAUAAAACCAACUUUGUUCCUCAUCUCUGGCAAAGAUGGAGGGUUGUUGGCUUGUGUUGUGUGAUGAGUCUUAUACCUGGCUCUGUCUGCUCUUGCCUUUUGCCUUACAUUUCAAAGACCUCACUUUUUUCUUUUCUUUUUUUAAAAAAUAUUUUAUCACAUGAUUUUCUAUACAUUUUAAUAAAAUUUCUUUUUUGUAAAAAAAGCAAAGCAUAAAUAAAAUAGGGUAGCCAUUUCUUCUAAGGUUAUGUUGAAUCUAACCCAAACUCUUAUCAGAGAAAACUCUGCUUUAGAUGUAGCCUAAAGCAGGAAGCAACAAACCUGUAUACAGCCAAAGUAUCAUCUCAAGGGCCUGCAUUCAAAUCUCACACAUGUGGCUUGAAAGUGAUCUCUUUUGCCCUUAUUUCAAGGCCUAAUCUUAGGUUACAUAGUACUUAAAGAAGCUUCAGUAUGCAAUUUCAAAGCCUGUAGUAGAUGUAAAAUGAGAAAAUUAGAAAUAAGGAGAAAAGCUGCUACAUGAGGACACUGACAGCAAGGAAAGGGAGAGAAAAACUCACAAAGUAAGUGGAAAAAUAGACCAAUGCAAAUAACCCCACAUAGUUUAACAGACCUCAUCAUAUCUAUUGUGUACAUGUUUGUAUGACAUAGAUUAUAUCUAUUAUAUGUAAUCCAGUGUUCAUAGUGUUGACUUAGAAAUUAUCAACCAAAUUCAAAGCUUUUAGGCUUUGAAAAUUGUUUGAAAAGAUUUUCACCCAAAAUAUUUAAAUUAUUAAAAAAAAUUAUUGUUGAUUAAAGUUGUAAUCCUCAAUUAAUUAGAAGUUUUGGCUAUCCAGAGACCUUAUAUUCCAAAGACUUUAGAGAGUUGUUUGUUAGAUCACAUAAAUUAUUACCAAUAUCCUACAUUUAAGCUUCUAAUUUACGUAAAUUGUGAGCAAAAUUGAGAGCCACACAAAUAUUCAAUCUCUGAAGCUCUUAUGGCAGCAUUGAUCAAAUAGGUUAGAGAACACAUGGAUACAGCUUUAUUGCCUUCUAGUUUUACUGCAAACGUGUUAUUUAAUAGUAUGCAAAUGAUUGGCUAGAUGUACAGACUGCCAGGGCCUUCAUAGCAAACAGGUUUUGUGUUUACCCUAGCAUACAAAAAUGCUUCAUCUACGAUGUAUGCUGUAACUGUGUGUAUUGUCUACCCUAGCAUGCAAAAAUGCUUCAUCUAAAAUGUAUGCUAUAACUAUGUGUAUUAUAUUAUCUAUAAUUAUAUUUCUCCUUGGUUUAAUAUUAGAUAUUUUCAGGUACAAGAAAUGUAUGCACAUUAUAGAUUCAAUGCAUGUAGGUUAUAUGUGUAAAUAUUUAUUGAUAAGAGGCAUUAAACCCCUGCCUUCUAUGCUGGAUAAACUCCUGAACUUAGCCUCCAAAACACCACAGUAGCCUCCCUGGUAAGCACAGGGCUCUUUCUCUACCCUUUUGUGUCUCCCACGCUCCCACUUGUCUACAAGAGCUGAGUGUAGACCAAGAGCAAUAAAGUUCAUUUCCCCAAAAUAAGGCGUAGCAUUCAGGUUUUGUGAUACCUGAUUGGUUUACAUUGUUUACAGGUGGGGCCUCGAAGGGGUAAAAAUCAGAAGCUUCUUAUUCUGAGCGCAAGGGCAAGAUCAUUGAGCAGACAUUGACCUCCCUUCAGACAUUUCUUGGGAGGAACAGAAUGAGAAUUUCAGGGGCCAGUGCCUGCACCCUACUAGCUGUGGCAGCCUGGUGCUCAUCUACUUCUCCAGCUUGGGAAGGCCUAGGUUAACCCCAGUCUUUGGAGGCAUUGUUAUUCCUCUUCUCUCCCUGCUUCCCCGUGUUUGUGUUCUGGGCCCGGUGUAACACUGAGGUUCAGAAUUGCUUUCAAGAGAGGAGCCCAUUUCUGUGUCUAUGCAAGGCUGGACAAUUUCUCCAAGUGGUUCAGCCUGUGGGGGUUAACGGGGCAAAAGCAUCUCAGCUAGUAAUAAACACUGCUUCGCCUCUUGCUUUUUUAUUUUUAUUUUUGCAAAACUUCUCUGUAGGUGUGUAUUUCUCUAGAGGAUUUCAAAAAUUCUCUGUAGGUGCGUAUUUCUGUAGAGGAAGGAGUGGUGACUGGGCCAGGGUGAAUGGAUUAUUUGAUCUAUAUUAUCUUGAAUUUUAUAUCUUUUAUUUUAAAAUUUGGGUGUUUUUUGAAGUAGGAAAUCAAUGCACAUGGCUGAAUAUCUAAAAAGUGUAAAAGUAUACAUUGAAAAGUCUUCCUCCUAAUCUCGUGAUUGUCUUCGUUUCAGUCCCCAUGGCCACAUCAUGAGGCUACUGAUGUCAUUAGUUUCUUUUGCGUUCUUCUAGGGUUUCUGUUGGCAUAUGCAAGCAACAAUAAAUGUAUACCUUUAUGUUUUCUCUUUUUACAGCAAGGACAGUUUAUUAAACACACUGUUUUAAACCUUAUUUUUUCUCUAAAUAAUAUUUCAUAUAAGUCAGUAUGUAGACUUUAUGUAUUUUUAAAAUGAAGACAUAGCGUUCCACUGAACUUAGACAAUAAUUUACUUAACUAGUCCAAGAUUGAAGAAUAAAAUUAUUUUGAAUCUUUUGUUAAUAGUUAAUAGCUUUGAUGAGUACACUUAUGCAUACAUUAUUUUACACAUGUUCAAGUAUGUUGUAUAAACCCCAAAGUGGGAAUGCUCUGUCAAAUAUUACAGGUAUUUGCAACUUUGAUAGAUACUAAUUGCCCUCGAUAGAGGUAGUAAAAGCUUACACUCCACAGCCUUACUGAUGAUAUAUAUUAUAAAACUUUUAGUUCUUGCCAAUCUAAACGUGAAAAAUGGUAUUUCAUGGUAAUUUAAAUGCUUUUCUCGUUUUAUAACUGAGGUUGACAUCUAUCAAAAAAUUAUUUGAAUUUUUCUGAGAACUAUUAAUCUUUGAAUCCUUUUCUGUUGUUUAUCUUUUCCUUCUUCAUUUCUAAAAGUUCCUAUACAGAGAGAUUCACCCGUUAUCUGUGAUAUGAUUACAAAUGUCUGCCCUCCAAUUUGUUAUAUGUCUUUAGAUCCAAAUACCUUAUUUUUUGCCAUGUAGAAAUUUUUAAUUUGUAUGUGAUAAAAUGUUAAUACUUUAUGGAUUCUGGAUUUUCAGAAAUAAAAAGGUCAUCCUCACUUCCAG